AGACAAAUAAAGUCAUCUGAGAAAGCCAGGGCCCAAGGAUGCGUCUGGACACAGCAGUAGGCUCUCCCGCUCCUCCCCAGCCAGGGACCUCGUCCCCACGCCGGGAGGAUGACGCGAGCAUCCCUGGAUCAUGGCUCUGCGAGGGGGGACCAUGGCUGACUCAUCUCUGAAGCCUCAGCACCUGGGAGAAAGGGCAGCGUGGAGGGAGUUCCCCGAUGCUUCAAUUUCCUGUCAUGUGUUUCCCAUUUAUCUUUGGAAUUCUUUGAAAUGUGUUGGAAUUCCUGCACAGAGACUGUUUCUCUUUAUCACUUUAGGUAAAGGAUAUCCAGCCAUUGUAAAGUGUGCCCAAAUCAUAUUAACCCUUGGAGGAGUGCCCUGGAUGAGGCUGCCAUGACCGAGCGGCACAAGCUGAGUGGCUUAGGGCAACAGAAGUGUCUUCUCUCAGCUCUGGGGGCCAGAAGCCUGAGAGCAAGGUGUUGGCCGGCCCUGCUCUCUUCGAAGGCUCCAGGGGAGAACUGUUGCAUGCUGCUCUCUCAGCCCUACUGUCACAGCAGGCCAUCUUUGCCUUUCUUUGCAAUGUCUGCCUCCAUUGUCACAUGGCGUCCCCUGUGUCUUUACACUGUCUCCUUUCUGGCAUGUCUGUCUUCACGUGACAUGUGUGUAUCUCUCUCUGUGCCUCUUCUCCUUUUUUUUUUAAGAAGGCCACCAGUCAUACUGGAUUAAGGGCCUCCUUUACCCUAGUAUGGCCUGAUCUGAACGUGCAUCUUAAUCACAUCUGCAGAGACCCCUUUCCAAAUAAGGUCACGUCCACGGGUACCAGGGGUCAGGGCCUCGACAUCUCUUUUGGAGACACAACUCAACCCACAAGAACCCUGGACAAGCUGCUUCCCCUUGCAGAGCCUCAGUUUCCAUAUGUGUAAACUGGGAAUAAUUGGACCCACCUGCCCGAGGUCUGGUGGGGACGCAAUGAGACAACGCAUGGGCUUGAGCUUAGCGAGACUUCACGUCUGACCUUCACCCUGUCUUUCUCUGCCUGCUCAGCCUCCUUCCCAGCUGUUUAAGGUAGAAAACCUGGACAACGAAGGACAUCCCAGCAGGCAGGACUUUGUUCGGCAGAGGCCAAAUCCAAGGACAACAGUCUAUCUCACAGAGCCUGCCUCCUCCCAACUGGGGGCUCUUCCUGGUGGUUCGAGCCUCUGCUGAACUUACUUUGCUCUAUGUAGGAUCCAGGGGCUGGACUUGGUCAACUGAUGAGUAAAAAUUCCGGGUGAUUCUAGGACAGCAGGCCGAGAUGUGUGUCCCUGGCUGGUUCGCCCCCCUGUCAUGAGCAGUUACGUUUUUCCAUGGUCAAAACAAAUAAAUACAUGAAAAGUGCCUAAAACCUAUAGGGAAUCAAGUUUCCAAAACUGUGCUCUUGUGGCUGACUUCUGAAUCAUAGUUUAGUAAUUAAGAGGAGAAAAGAGCAAGUUGGACCUGGCAACAGAAUAUAAAUUGUACCUCUGUAAAGGUCACAUACGAGUUGUGAUUAACCACACGAGUCAUACGUUGUCCUGGGUAAAACAAUACUGGGUUUUAAGCCUAUUUAGAGGAUUCCACAGCCCUCCCCCGACCCCCUUCCUCGCAGAAGUUCACGGUUGGAAUCUGACGCGAAGUGGGGUUUUCUUUUAUUUUUUUUCCUUUCGGUCUGAGAUGAUUUCCAUACACUGUGGUUUGGCAGUCUGCACUUGAGCGAUGCUAUAGCAUUAUCAGGGUGCCGACAGCUGCUCUAGAAUAAACAAGCGGUGAUGCAUUGAGCUGGCAAGUCCAUAUGGUUUGGAAAAGAAAAUGAAAUAAAAUAAAAACAUUUGUUAUCAUUUUGGGGAGUUUUUGAACCCAACCAGCUUCAGCACCACUCUAAUGCCUUGCAUGAGUUUGCUUAAAAAAUAAAAUAAAAUGAAUAAUUA
rnacentral:lncRNA from 1 species